UAAAAAACGACAAGAAAGAGGAGUAGAAUUUUCCACACUAACAGUGAGUUGGGAAUGGUGAGAACCCAAUUAGUAAAUGGACUUUUCGAAUAACACUUUCUUAAUGUUUCUGGCUAAAAUGAGCAAUCAAAGUAAGUACAGACGUUAACCGGUACGUUACCAUCGGUGGAACAUGUUAGUGUUCUUAUUGAGCUGGUCUAUUUUAUAUAGGCAACUUGGGUGGUACCGCGAAGUCUUUCGUCCCAGUU
rnacentral:ncRNA from 1 species